rnacentral:lncRNA from 1 species
UCUCCCCAGGUGAAGCCAAAGUACAUUUUCGAAGGACAGUGACUAUCAUCUGGGCUGCAGGUCAUUGUCACAGAGGCUUGCUCUUACCUGGGGACUGCUGUCCAAGCUGGGCCCUGGACACCCUGAAGAACUGGAGACAUGCUUGCCCACAGAGAGCACCGGGUUCAUCUGGCCGGCGUUACAGUUACAUCAAAUGAGGUUCCACCCUUUGGGAGUCUCCCUGUCCAAGCACCACCAUACUAGGAGCCACGUCUCUGACACUCGCACCCUAAGGAAACGCAUUCAAAGCACAGCAUGCCAAUGCUUCAAGAUCCAUCCUAGUCCCCGAGGCCUGGUGUCUAUCUGUGUACUUUGAUACCAUCCGAGUAGAUCUUUGGGGCCAUGGCCUGGCCAGAGCAGCCAAAGAGUUGUAGCUCUUCAAGGGGAGGACAGGAACCUACUUGUGAGUAGAUUUAAAUGUCUAUUGUUCUCAAUUAUGAGGAUUGUUGGGGUUUCUUAAUCUGCUC